CAAGGUGUAAAAUAUUUAUUAAUUACAUUUAUUCUUGUUAGUAAAUGUAUGUAAGAAACAAAUUAAUUUAUCAUGAUCAAUUUUGAGUUAGUUCACUAAUAUAAGGAAAUAUGUGUACACAGUCAAACAACUAUUUUUAUUUUUCAAAUAAUUCAUUAUUUUUUAAUGCUAUUUAAAUAAAAUAUGGAAUAAUAUAACUUUAUUUCAUUGAGUAUCUAGAAAUAAAUAGACAGAUUUCAAAUUAUUUAAUUUUAUACAUUUUAAUUUGUAAAAAAAAAAAAAUCAAGUCAUCUCUUGUAACACUAAGAUAUGACAUGAGACAUAUUAUAUAAAACACCUUUUCCCUAUCAUUUUUAUACAUAAUUUAUACAAUUGGAAUAUUAGUAUUGUUUUGAACUUCAAAUUGAGGGGGGGGGAAUUAUUAGUUCUUUCUGUGUUUUAAAAAUAUAUAUAUACAUAGGUAGGUAUUUCAAAAAAAAAAAAAAUAUAUUCUAAGUAUGAUGGUCAAAAUUGAUUUAAGCCACUGAUUGUCUUUACUUGAAUUUUUUUGUUGAUAUUAUUUUAUAGCGAACAGACGUUUUUGAAAAUCAAGUUAUUAAAUAAUUUUUAAAGUAAGUAAGAACAAUAAAAUUUGAUUAUACCAUUAACUCUAUGUUAAAACACACAUUUUGUGGUUUGAAAAUAUAUAAAUUCAUGGGUUUUCA